AGGCCUGAUUGCUGGAGUGCUGCAGAGAUGGUUGUCCUUCUGGAAGGUUCUCCCAUCUCCACAGAGGAACUCUGGAGCUCUGUCAGAGUGACCAUCGGGUUCUUGGUCACCUCCCUGACCAGGUUCUAGGAAAUUCUUGUUGAUUCCAAACUUCUUCCAUUUAAUAAUGAUGGAGGCCACAGUUUUCUUUGGGAUCUUCAAUGCUGCAGAUAUUUUUCGGAACCCUUCCCCAGAUCUGUGGCUUGACACAAACCUGUCUCGGAGCUCAACGAACAAUUCCUUUGACCUCAUGGCUUGGAUUUUUCUCUGAUAUGCACUGUGGGACCUUAUAUAGACAGGUGUGUUCCUUUCUUAAUCAUGUCCAAUCAAUUGAAUUUACAACAGGUGGACUCCAAUCAAGUUGUAGAAACAUCUCAAGGAUGAUCAAUGGAAACAGGAUGCACCUGAGAUCAAUUUCAAGUCUCAUAGCAAAGGGUCUGAAUACUUAUGUAAAUAAGAACUGGUCAAGAACCUGACACCCUCAGCACACAGGGGGACAAAUACCUACCUGGAGGUGACAGCUUUCCCUCCACCAUAUGCCCCCCUAGACACAACCAACAAAAACUGGUCACAACUCCUGCAGCUCUGUUGGACGCCAGUAGAACGGAGGUGGAUUAUCCAUUCGCUGAUGCAGUCUCGCCAGACAUCCGGCUUUUUGACGGCUGUAACACCAAUUCCUCUUCAUACGAAUGUUGGAGAUUUGGGCCUGGUCCGGGAGGAGAUCAUAUCCUUUGCGUCUGACUCAUUAAAGGAAUAAUCCUCAUUCAGUUGAAGGUGAGUAAUUGCUGUUCUGAUGUCCAGAAGAUAUUUUUGGUAACAAGAAAUGAUGACGGAAACAUUAUGUACAAAAAAAGUUUUAAAAAAACACACAAAAUAGUACAAUUGGUCAGGAAGCCGUAAAACGGUGGCCAUCCCCUUCGACGCCAUUAUACAUCUGUGUGUGUGUUUUGUUGAAGUUUGUGUGUAGAAUACAACCCUGGCUGAGAUGUGGCCGUGUGCUUGGCACGUUUGGUCAUUCCAGGUGACUGUAGCAGCAGAGACAGAGGCCCUGACCGGUCUUGGCCCACUCCAGAACACCGACUCGUGCCAGUUUAUCAUCACCCGGACACUAAUCGGUACUGACACCUACCACAGUAUCCCCUUCGUAAACAAAGAGAAGACAGAGUUCUGAAUAGAGAAGGACCUACCGUAGCUCGAACCAGAGGGAGAGGCAUAGUGCUCGGUUCAAUAAAGGUUUGCUUGAAUCCCAGCCUUUGCGAUACACUCUAAAAAUAGAAAGAGAGACAGAGACAAACAGAGAGACACAGAGAGACAGACAGAGAGAGACAGAGUGAGGAAGAUAGAGAGAGAGAAAGAUGGAGAGAAAGAGAGAGACAGAGAGAGAGAGGGAGGAUAUAUUUCAGGUUAUAGCUCAUAGCAGCUCCCUUGGAACCAAUGUCUCAGAUAUGGAGAUGUGUUUACUCUGCUCACUCAGCCUCAGACACAACAGAGGAAUGAAAGAGCCUGACAAAGUCUUUCAGUGUUUUACUUAUAUCGUUUUUUUUCUUCAUUCUAAAGAGCCCCUUUUCUAACUCUCAAAACUUUUA
rnacentral:lncRNA from 1 species